AUUGAACGCUGGCGGCAUGCCUUACACAUGCAAGUCGAACGGCAGCACGGACUUCGGUCUGGUGGCGAGUGGCGAACGGGUGAGUAAUAUAUCGGAACAUACCUUGUAGUGGGGGAUAACUAUCCGAAAGGAUAGCUAAUACCGCAUACGCUCUAAGGAGGAAAGCGGGGGAUCGUAAGACCUCGUUCUAUAAGAGUGGCCGAUAUCUGAUUAGCUAGUUGGUGAGGUAAAGGCUCACCAAGGCGACGAUCAGUAGCUGGUCUGAGAGGACGACCAGCCACACUGGAACUGAGACACGGUCCAGACUCCUACGGGAGGCAGCAGUGGGGAAUUUUGGACAAUGGGGGCAACCCUGAUCCAGCAAUGCCGCGUGAGUGAAGAAGGCCUUCGGGUUGUAAAGCUCUUUCGUCAGGGAAGAAACGGUUGCGGCUAAUAUCCAUGGCUAAUGACGGUACCUGAAGAAUAAGCACCGGCUAACUACGUGCCAGCAGCCGCCGUAACAC
rnacentral:rRNA from 1 species